CUUUAUUUAAACACACACAACACAUUCGUUUCUUAGUACCAACUCUGAAGAUGCUAAAUCCCUUGCAAGUAUUGCAAGAGCUAAAUGAAAGCUCCUCCUUUUUGCAACCUUUGGCCUUCACACUGCUGGCCAUUUUCCUUGUCCUCCUAUACUCAUGGUACUCUUCGACUAAAAUCACCACCCAAAAAUCAACACAACCGCCUUCUCCUCCAAAGCUACCUAUCAUUGGAAACCUUCACCAGAUAGGCUCGUACCCUCAUCGCUCACUUCAAGCCCUGUCCCAACGCCAUGGCCCUCUCAUGCUUCUCCACUUUGGAAGUGUCCCGGUGCUUGUUGUCUCUUCAGCUGAGGCAGCCCGGGAGAUCUUGAAAACUCAUGACCUCGCGUUUUCUGAUCGACCAAAGUCCACCAUCUUUGAGAAGCUUCUCUACAACUACAGAGAUGUCGCAAGCGCGCCGUAUGGUGAGUAUUGGAGGCAGGUGAGAAGUAUAUGUGUUUUAAAUCUUUUGAGCAACAGAAGGGUUCGGUCUUUUCGUUCUGUGAGGGAAGAGGAAACCAAAUCCAUGAUCAGAAACAUAAAGGACUCAUCAUUAUCAUCUGUUUUGAAUCUGAGCGAAAUGUUUGUGAGGCUUACUAAUGAUCAGAGGCGGAUCGACGUUGGGACAAGAGGGGGCUGAAGCCCCCUUGGAAUGCUGAAAAAUUGGGAAGGGACUCCAUGAAAGCCCCCUUGGUUAUACUGGGUUGAUGAUAUCUGGGACUGGGAAAUAAAAUAUAUGCAAUUUUCAAACCAAUUCGAUAUCUGGGAAACAAAAAAGGAGCAACUUUUAUACUGAGUAUAUGUGCAUGUGUGUAUGUUUUUUGUGAAAGAGGUGUAACAUAUAGUAGCAUAUAUAUUUUGCAAAAGGUUAAAUAUCUUAAUCCAAUCAAUUGUUUUUGAGGAUAUGUUUGCUGCUGGCACUGAUACCACAUAUACUGCCUUAGAGUGGACAAUGACUGAGCUUUUAAGGCAUCCAAGGGUCAUGAACAAAUUGCAGAAUGAGGUAAGGGGAAUAGUCGGAAACAAAACAGACGUAAUUACAGAGGAUGAUUUGGUUGAAAUGCACUACUUGAAGGCAGUGACGAAGGAGACUCUUCGCUUACAUCCACCAAUUCCAUUACUAUUUCCCAGGAUGUCAACCCGAGAUGUGGAAGUAAAUGGCUACAACAUUAAAGCCAACACACAAGUUUUCAUCAACGCAUGGCAAAUCGGAAGAGAUCCCAAGCUGUAUGACAAACCAGAGGAGUAUGAGCCAGAAAGGUUCUUGAAUAAUGGUAUAGAUUACAAAGGGAAUGACUUUGAAUUCAUUCCUUUUGGAGCUGGUCGGAGGGCCUGCCCAGGAAUUCAGUUUGCCAUGGCUGUUAAUGAAAUUGCCUUAGCAAACAUCGUGCACAAGUUCGAUUGGGCAUUGCCCGGUGAAGCAAGUGGGGAGGAUUUAGACAUGACAGAAUCCACUGGUUUAACCGCACAUAAAAAAUAUCCUCUCAAAGCUGUUGCUUUUCCACACUUCGAAGUUGAGAAAUAGA